GAAGCUGGACCGGAAGGACUGGUGGAGCGCUUAGAAGUGAGAAUGCCGGUAUGAGUAACGAAAGACGGGUGAGAAUCCCGUCCACCGAAUGCCUAAGGUUUCCUGAGGAAGGCUCGUCCGCUCAGGGUCAGUCGGGACCUAAGUCGAGGCCGAUAGGCGUAGACGAUGGACAACAGGUUGAUAUUCCUGUACCACCUCCCCGCCGUUUGAGCAAUGGGGGGACGCAGAAGGAUAAGGUGAGCGCGCCGUUGGUUGUGCGCGUCCAAGCAGUGAGGCGGAAAAUGAGGCAAAUCCCAUUUUCAUACACGCUGAGCUGUGAUGGCAAGGGGCAUUGCGCCCUGGAGUCCCUGAUUUCACACUGCCAAGAAAAGCCUCUAGCGAGGCGGGAGGUGCCCGUACCGCAAACCGACACAGGUAGGCGAGAAGAGAAUUCUAAGGUGAGCGAGUGAACUCUCGUUAAGGAACUCGGCAAAAUGACCCCGUAACUUCGGGAGAAGGGGUGCUCUGGUAGGGUGUAUAGCCCGAGAGAGCCGCAGUGAAUAGGCCCAGGCGACUGUUUAGCAAAAACACAGGUCUCUGCAAAACCGUAAGGUGACGUAUAGGGGCUGACGCCUGCCCGGUGCUGGAAGGUUAAGAGGAGUGCUUAGCGCAAGCGAAGGUGCGAAUUGAAGCCCCAGUAAACGGCGGCCGUAACUAUAACGGUCCUAAGGUAGCGAAAUUCCUUGUCGGGUAAGUUCCGACCCGCACGAAAGGCGUAACGAUCUGGGCACUGUCUCAACGAGAGACUCGGUGAAAUUAUAGUACCUGUGAAGAUGCAGGUUACCCGCGACAGGACGGAAAGACCCCGUGGAGCUUUACUGUAGCCUGAUAUUGAAUUUUGGUGCAACUUGUACAGGAUAGGUAGGAGCCAGAGAUCCCGGAGCGCCAGCUUCGGAGGAGGCGUCGGUGGGAUACUACCCUGGUUGUAUUGAAAUUCUAACCCACGCCCCUGAUCGGGGCGGGAGACAGUGUCAGGCGGGCAGUUUGACUGGGGCGGUCGCCUCCUAAAGAGUAACGGAGGCGCCCAAAGGUUCCCUCAGAAUGGUUGGAAAUCAUUCGCAGAGUGUAAAGGCAGAAGGGAGCUUGACUGCGAGACGUACAGGUCGAGCAGGGUCGAAAGACGGGCUUAGUGAUCCGGUGGUUCCGCAUGGAAGGGCCAUCGCUCAACGGAUAAAAGCUACCCCGGGGAUAACAGGCUUAUCUCCCCCAAGAGUUCACAUCGACGGGGAGGUUUGGCACCUCGAUGUCGGCUCAUCGCAUCCUGGGGCUGUAGUCGGUCCCAAGGGUUGGGCUGUUCGCCCAUUAAAGCGGUACGCGAGCUGGGUUCAGAACGUCGUGAGACAGUUCGGUCCCUAUCCGUCGCGGGCGCAGGAAAUUUGAGAGGAGCUGUCCUUAGUACGAGAGGACCGGGAUGGACACACCGCUGGUGUACCAGUUGUUCCGCCAGGGGCAUCGCUGGGUAGCUAUGUGUGGCCGGGAUAAGUGCUGAAAGCAUCUAAGCACGAAGCCCCCCUCAAGAUGAGAUUUCCCAUUGCGCAAGCAAGUAAGAUCCCUCAAAGACGAUGAGGUAGAUAGGUUCGGAGUGGAAGCGUGGCGACACGUGCAGCUGACGAAUACUAAUCGAUCGAGGACUUAACCAA
rnacentral:rRNA from 1 species